rnacentral:misc_RNA from 1 species
GUUGGGGCGGCCGCACGGAAAACACACGUGUUACACGAGCAGCGGCACUAUGGAGUCGUACUUGGCGUCCCUCGCGAGGGACGAACGAAAUCGUUGAAAUCGAGUGGACCACACCAGUGUCGUGCGAAUAUCACGGAUGACUUCCGACUUUCGUUUCUCCGAAAUGUAGUAGCGUCCGGAAGCAGCGCUUCCGUCGGUCGCGAGAUGCGUCGCGGAAAUUCCCGCCCUCAGAAGGUUCGAUGAAUUUUGCUCGGCCUGAUCAAUCGCUUUUACACUUGUGCGGAAAUAGAAAUCUUGCUUGGCCGAACUAGUCACGCUCGUUUUACCCCCUUCACGCUCUUUUCCGAAGAUGUGCAAAAGGUUUUUACGGAAUCAAUCAGGGUUGAGUCCGUGGCAUUUGCUGCGAAAAUGGCUUUGGUGUCAAUGACAAGCAUUAAGUUGUUUCUUAAGAUCGUUGGAGAUCUGUGUAUCUUGGUUGGAUAUAUAUGUGCUCUGGUUGUUCUGCUCAUAUUUAUUAUGAGGAUGUGCUUAAUGGUUACAUUCACCGCAUUAGAUAUUUUUUUAUAAGUUUGUAAUAUUUUUGUGUAAAUCCUGUGAUCGGUGUUUGAAAAGUUAUUGGUGAGCGAAGUGAUGUGUUGUAGCAGACAUGGAGAAUUUUAUCAAUACCCGUUGCUGUCAUUACAUACAAAACGACGAUAUAUGCAGUCAGUCACUUUAGCCGGGUGAACGAGCUGACUUGUCAAACGAAAAAGAAAUUAGGGAAAUGCUUUAACAAUAAGCGAACUGUGAAUGCUAUUGUCAUUUCAAGAAAGAAUUGUUACGACUACGGCAUAAGAUAUGCUGGCAGAAAGUGCGUUGGCUCUGUUUGCGCUCGUUAAUCAGUUCAAUUGAAUAACAUAUUAAUAAAUGCUGCGGGGUCAUCGCGACAGUUAAUCGCAAUGUCCACGCCGGACACGAUGGAUACCAUCGACGAAGCGGAACAAGCGUGGCAUGAGAUGCUGGAGUGUGAGACCGGAUCCCUUUUAGGCAGAGUGGCGGACCUCGAAAGGCAAUCCUUGGCGCAAAGGGACGAGAUAGUUUGUCUUCGCGCCACUCUAGCGGACGCGUUAAGGCGAAUCGCCCAACUCGAGGCAAGAGAAAAACGGGAGGAUGACAGGAACGAGAGGAGAAACGACAGGAUGGUAUCCUCACCCUUAAGGAACGGUCAUGUACCUCUCAGAAGUAGUCAAAAUUCGGUGUCACAGAAGGACUUGAGGCUGCGUCAGACCGGUGGCCUCAGAAAUUCCUCCUCUUCGGGAUCGUCGCAGGAUGUCCGCGAUGCGACAUCCAGUCCGAGACGGCCUGCCAGCUACGUGCAUCCCUCCCAACUUCCUCAAAGGAGAUCCGUCCACUAUCAGUCAACGGGUUCUUUACAUUCCGAUAGUCCGAGUAGUAGUAGUGUUUCUCCGGUGCCAUCGCCAAGCCCUAGAGCUACGCCACUGCCUGUAGCCAGAUCGCCCACGGCAAGAUCAAACGGACCGCCGCAAAGUAGCCUAAGAAGAGCGAAGAGAUGGUCGUCCACCGGCGAUUUUACACAUUCCCCGCAAAACCAGGGAAGCAAUUCCCAGCUCGUCGGUACCAGAUUGUCUGCGUCCACCAAGUCCCUGUUCAACCUGUUCAAGCCACCGGCGAUGAACAACGUCAAGCACGGCACCAGAGACAUGCAGUACAACGAGGAGGAAGGGACCGUCCGCAUGUAUUUGCGCGGUCGACCGGUCGUUCUUUACGUUCCUACAUCCAUGAUGGAAUCCUACGACCUUCACAAAGUUAGUACGCCGCCACAAAGCAAAUUGAAGCUCGAUUGGGUCUACGGUUAUCGCGGGCGCGAUUGCCGUAGCAAUUUACACCUGCUGCCGACCGGCGAGAUUGUAUAUUUCGUCGCGGCAGUCGUUGUUCUGUACAAUAUGGAGGAGCACAGCCAGAGACAUUAUCUAGGUCAUACGGAUGAUGUCAAGUGCAUAGCAAUACAUCCUAACAAAUUGGUCGUCGCAACAGGACAGGUGUGCGGGACGGAUCGUCGGGAUGCUAUGCCACAUAUAAGAAUAUGGAACUCCGUAAGCCUGACGACUCUCAGUGUGAUCGGCAAUGGCGAAUUCGACGGAUCGAUUUGCUGCCUGUCAUUCUCCAAGGCCGACGGCGGAAAUUAUUUGUGUGCCAUCGACGAGACUUCCGAUCAUAAUAUAUCGAUCUGGGACUGGCAGAAGAGCGAUCGUGGUACUAAAGUGACUGAAACAAAGUGCUCUGUCGACACGGUGGUUUGCGCCGAGUGGCAUCCGCUGGAACGUAACCAGAUCGUCUCUUGCGGAAAAGGACAUGUAUCCUUUUGGUCCCUGGACAACGGCGGCAUGCUGUAUAAACGUAUGGGCAUCUUCGAGAGCAGAGAUAAGCCCAGGUAUGUUACCUGCGUUGCCUUCAAUCAAAAUGGCGACGUUCUCACCGGUGACAGCAACGGCAACAUCAUCGUUUGGGCUCGAGGUACUAACACAAUUUCAAGGCUAGUGAGAAAUCUCCAUGAAGGAUCGAUUUUCUCCAUAUGUGUUCUGAAAAAUGGUAACAUUAUCACAGGAGGUGGAAAGGACGGCAAAAUUUUGUAUUUUGACGCUUCUUUGAAUCCGACGGGAGAAGAUGCCCAGAUCGAGGAUCAUUUCGGCGGAAUUCGAACGCUCUCAGAGGGAAGAGGCACUCAAUUAUUAAUUGGCACAACGAGGAACUGCAUUCUCGUUGGCGAAAAUGAUAUGGGUUUCAAUCCUGCAAUGCUAGGCCACGCUGAAGAAGUUUGGGGACUUGCGGCCCAUCCGACUUUACCUCAAUUCGCCACCGCGGGACAUGAUAGAUUGUUGCAGAUGUGGGACAGUUUAAGUCAUACCGUGGUGUGGAGCAAAGAUAUCGGGGAGCAAGCACAAAGUAUUGCCUUUUCACCGGAUGGUAAUAUCAUAGUUGUCGGCUGUGUGUCCGGGAAAUGGUUGGCAAUUGAUAGCGAAACGCGAGAAUUGUAUACACAUCAUAGCGAUGGUUCCGAACCUAUUCAGGUUGUUCAAUUUUCACCUGAUGGUUCCUUGCUUGCACUUGGCUCCAGAGAUAAUUACAUUUAUAUUUAUCAAGUGAAUGACGAUGCAACCAAGUAUAGUCGAGUUGGGCGAUGCAUGCCAAAGCGGAUUCGAAGGGACAUUCCAGUUUUAUAAAUCAUCUCGAUUGGUCUGUAGAUGGUCAAUACUUGCGCAGUAACAGCGGAGACUAUGAAUUGCUUUAUUGGAAUCCUGGUGUUUGCCGUCAAAUUCCUCAGUCUUCAAUGUUAAGGAAUGUUGAUUGGGCAACUCAUUCCUGCGUGAUAUCCUUCGAGACAAUAGGCAUUUGGCCGGAGGGCGCCGAUGGAACUGACGUGAAUAAUUG